UACUGUCUGCUCAUACUCGAGCUCCGCUUCCCCUCUUGUUUGCUAUUCUUCUAGCUUCUUUCUCUCCUCUGCUUAGUGUUAUGUGUAUGUGCAGAUGUGGAUCGACGCCACAGAGCUAUGGAAGUGUUCCCGCACAUACACUUCCACCAUCAUUGUUGCCUUCAUGCUUGCUUUUUAUUAAGUAAUAUGUAGUACAUAUAUCAUAUCGGUCCUGGGACACUAGGACGACUAGGCAGACGACUAGAACCGACUAGGCUCGACUAAUCGGCCUGAUCGACGACUAAUCGCGACUAGUCGUCUGAUCGGUCCCAAGGCGACUAGGUCCGACUAGACGAUUUGAAAACAUGGUUUGUUUGGAUGUAUACUUGGUGCGAUGGGGAUUGAAUCAGUCGAGAAUUGUAGGAUCUGAAAUUGGGUUAUGUUCAUGUGUUGAAAUUUUCCAGCGAGUUAGCGUUGGAUGGUAUAUUCGACAGUUUGAUAUGUGUUUUGGGUUAAUUAGCCAUGCGAGUACAAACAAUUAUUUCCACUUUAUGUUCUUCCGAUGGUAGCACAAGGAGUCUGAGUUCAACGAAACAUGAGGGGGAAAAACUCUGUUCAAUUGAAACUACCGUGAAAUUUUGAUUCAUACCAUCAUAAGUGGCCUUGUCUAUCUAGCUUCUAGGUUAAUAUUACUAUCCUUUCACUGUGGUUCUAGCGCAAUAAUGUUCACAUUAGUGAUUAGUCAGAUUGAAACUGGUAAGCCUCUAAUAAUUCUGACCAGUUAGAAUCAGUGAAUAAUGGAUGCUGCAACCCACAGAAUCAAAGCAAACUUUUAUUAUCUCCUUUUUUUUGUUACAAGGAGUCUAGCUGAAAAGCACACGUAUUCUUAUCUCCAGCUUUUUCUAAACAAAUGCCGCCAAAAGUAGAUGUUGCAUUGUAAAUGCUUGACCAUUUUUCGUAAUGCUUGAAUAUUAUUGCUGUUUAUCUUGAACAUUAUUUCUAAAAUCAGAGGGAUUAUUAUGGUGGCCAAUGAGGUUUUUGGCACACAACUUUUUUUUGGAUUCGCAGUGAUGCUCAUCCUUGAAUAUAUUGACUGAUCUGUCAUAUUCUAUUGCAGAACAGGAUCAUUUAGUCUCAUUCUCAAAUGGCUGGUUCGGACUUGGUAUAAUCUCCUCUGGCUCAACUGAUGCUAUUGUCCUCAGGGCUGUACAAGGGAAUGAUUGGGAAGACUUUAUUUGCUAUCCAAUUAAGCAUCACUUGUGAUUUUGUGAAGAAGUUAUAGCUAUAAGAUCAAAUGUAUCGCCCAGACAAGUUAUAUUAUCCUUAUGGAAGAUAUGGACAUGAUUUACUAUUUCACUUAAUGAUGAUCACGUGAAAUCUCCAAGAUCAUCUAAUUAUGCAUGUGUGAUGAUCAACAUGUUAUCAAUUAUUUUAUUUUUUCUUCGUUGCUUCA